UACGUAGGCAGCAAGCGUUGUUCGGAGUUACUGGGCGUAAAGGGUGUGUAGGCGGUUCUUUAAGUUUGGUGUGAAAUCUCCCGGCUCAACUGGGAGGGUGCGCCGAAAACUGGAAUGCUAGAGUAUGGGAGAGGUAAGCGGAAUUCCUGGUGUAGCGGUGAAAUGCGUAGAUAUCAGGAGGAACACCUGUGGUGUAGACAGCUUACUGGACCAUCACUGACGCUGAGACACGAAAGCGUGGGUAGCAAACAGG
rnacentral:rRNA from 1 species